GACAGGUGGCGACGGCAGAGGAAUAACCUUCACUCUUCUCUGCAACGAAUCCCAAAAGUAUGUAGUUGAGCUGACUGCAAGGUGCUUGAGACGCAAGAGACUCCACAAAUGGGAUUCGGCCUCUGGAAAGUGGUGGUAAUUCCAGAUUUAUGUGGCUGUUACUUUGUUUUUCCCUAUAAAAUACAUUCUUUAAACUAUCAA
rnacentral:lncRNA from 1 species